rnacentral:rRNA from 1 species
CCUACGGGAGGCAGCAGUGGGGGAUAUUGGACAAUGGGGGCAACCCUGAUCCAGCGACGCCGCGUGAGUGAAGAAGUAUCUCGGUAUGUAAAGCUCUAUCAGCAGGGAAGAAAGAAAUGACGGUACCUGAGUAAGAAGCCCCGGCUAACUACGUGCCAGCAGCCGCGGUAAUACGUAGGGGGCAAGCGUUAUCCGGAUUUAUUGGGUUUAAAGGGUGCGUAGGCGGGCCUUCAAGUCAGCUGUGAAAGUCUUUGGCUCAACCCAUGGACUGCCUUUGAAACUGUGAGUCUUGAGUGUUGGUGAGGGAGGUGGAAUGGUGUGUGUAGGGGUGAAAGGGGUAGAUAUACGGAGGAACACCAGUGGGGAGGGAGGCCUGCUGGACAAUAACGGACGCUGAGGCGCGAAAGAGUGGGGAGCAAACAGGAUUAGAGACCCCAGUAGUC